rnacentral:lncRNA from 1 species
AAAAUAUAAAAAUACUAUAAAAAUUGAAGUUGAUUUCAUAAUGGAACUUUAGCUCAUUGGCACAGUAAAUUGCUUAAUUGAAACCCACACAAUAGCACAGAACAACAAACCUAGAAUCAGCUUAGUUUAGGCCAUCAGCCACACCAGCAUUGUCAAGAGGUUCAGUAGAAUAACAGAAGAAGAAAGUUCACUGGUCUAAACACAAUGCAAUGAGAACACUAUCUAUUUUACACAUGAUUCAUCAUCAUGGUAGAUUUGAACCACAGCCAUGAAUUAAUUAAUUCCCUGGAGGACCACCAAAGAGGUAUCCCAAGGAAGAUCCACCUCCUGGAGCAGCAUGAACCUUGGUAGAUGGUCGAUCCUGCACCCCAAAACCAAACCAUCAUUAAAAACAAGUUCAAUUGUUUUAGGCAUUCAAAAAAUAAAUUUUAAAUAAAACUGAUACAUUUUAACAUAAAUUGUUUUAUUAGUAAAUAAAAAUGUCUCAUUCUUAAAUUUAUUUAAGCUUGUCUAACCCUUAAGCCACAUCAUUGUUGAGUGUUAACUCAACAAAGAGGAAGCCAGCAGCAGCCUUGCAAAUAUUACAUAAGUUGCACAAAGUACAGUAUUUGUAAACUCAUAUUAUGUCAAGAACAGGAGGUAGGAUUUAUGUUAUUCUUCCAACCAAAAAGGCAAGAGAACCAUGAAAGGUAGCUUAAGCAGAGAGACAUGAACUAUUCUUAAAGUUUUGAAAGCUUUGCGCUAGAAAUUUCUGCUAAAAGGAUCUCCCACAAUGUAGUACUACUGCAAUUAAAAACCAUAGACUUUGUUUUGCCCCUUAAUUUUAUCAACACCAAACUUGUAACUUCACUACUUUUAGCUGGACAAUACUAGGAAAUGCAAGAGGAGGAGACUCCAAAAUGCAUCAAAUUUACUGUGAAAGCUUCUAGUACUUCCUAGGCUAAUGUAAGUGGAGAGAAACAAGAAUAUUUAAAGCAAAGUUGAAGAAAGGGCAGGUUAAAAUUAAAACAAUCAUAAUAGAUAACUUGGAAAGAUAAUUACAGUGAGAAAGUUGCCACAGUUUUGGCCAUCAGCACGAUGGUAAUUGUUUUUGAGACUUCCAGGAAUUCCAGCAGGAAUUUGCUUUUCAACUGGUGCUGGACUUUGCUGCUUUUCAACUGGUGCUGGACUUUGCUGCUUCUCAACUGGUGGUGAAGGAGCACUAGCAUUUUGAGUGCGUGCAGCCUGGUUAGCACUUUGAACAUUGCUGGCAGGCUCCCCACUGCCGAAGAGGUAACCCAAGGAACUCUGGCCACCACCAGCACUCACACCACGACCCAUUUUCCCUCUGUUUGGUGAUGCUAAACAACCAAAAUAGCAGCAUCACACUUUUUGUCACUAGGAAUUUUACAUCCAAAAUUCACAGAAGAACAAAAACAACAGACUCAUAUGCAGCAUAUAUAACCAAGAGCCAUCAGAAAUCAACAAAAAGCAACAACUACCUACAAUUGAUUCCUUAUUUAAACCAGUGAAGUAUUUAUUAUGUACUCCAAUGUAAGUAAUGGGAUUGGUUUUCAAUGAACUCGGAUAAAUAUUUUACAUUUAAAAAAACACAUAAACUUUCAAUGAGCAUACACACAUGAGUAAGCUAAUCAGUUGGUAGAAUGGAAAAUGCAGAUGUCAAAAACGAAAUGAAUAGGGAAAUGGCAAGAUUGAGAAUUGGGAAAAUUUAAAGCUAUGCAUGUAGAGGCCAACAAAAUGAUUUAAAAGGUUUUCACGUCUUACUCAGAAGAGUAAAACCGAUAUAAAUAAAUACUGUUAUUUUCCUAAUUCAUUCUUUAAUUCGUGCAAUUUUAUGUAGAACAUUAACAUUUUAUUUUGACAGAAACAUAGAUCUCAAUUUUAUUAUUGAAGAGGAUCAGACGAAGAGGGCACUCUGUCCUGUUUCUUCUACCCUACAAUGAAAUCAUAAUUUAUUCCGUUGCAUCCCUUUUGUUUUUGCCUUGAGGUGCUUCUUUCAGGACAGAUCAAGCAAAACCAAAAUCAUUCCAGUGCCAGACCCUCCUGAUCUAGCCAUGCUCAAAUUGCAUGGAUUCAAAAACCUUAAAGGCACAAAAUUGAAUAAGAAAACCGAUGGAAUCAGAUGCUAGAUCUCAAGACAAACUACCCAUCAACAAAUCAGAGCUAAAGAAGCCAUUUUUAAUCGAUUCAAUCAUGAAAAACACAAUCUAGAACACCCCAAAACAGGAUUCACAAUCCAGGUCACAACCCACCACUCCAAACUAUUAAGAAACUAACAAAUCUAAACUUGGUAGUAACAAAAAAGCCAAAUUACCACCAACAAAAGAAAUCCAAUAAGCAUGCAGUAAAAAAAUGUGCCAGAAAUUAAAGCACAAAACCAUUUUUUUUUCAAAGAACAUCAUGAGUUAACACGAAACAUUAUCACCGUACAGUAUUAAACAGCACACGAAACACAGAUUACUGAAACCCAGAAAGGAAAUUAGACAAUACAUGAAUGGUAACGAAGCAAGAAGUGAGAUCUGAAUUUUUCGUACCUUUGUUGAUGCUGAGACCACUCACUCACUGAUGGCAACCGAGAGUCGGUGACGUU